CUCCUGGAAACGGGUGGUAAUGCCGGAUGUUCCAGUUGAUCGCAUGGUCUUCUGGGAAAGCUUUCGCGGUAUGGGAUGGGGUCGCGUCCUAUCAGCUUGACGGCGGGGUAACGGCCCACCGUGGCUUCGACGGGUAGCCGGCCUGAGAGGGCGACCGGCCACAUUGGGACUGAGAUACGGCCCAGACUCCUACGGGAGGCAGCAGUGGGGAAUAUUGCACAAUGGGCGCAAGCCUGAUGCAGCGACGCCGCGUGAGGGAUGGAGGCCUUCGGGUUGUAAACCUCUUUUAUCGGGGAGCAAGCGUGAGUGAGUUUACCCGUUGAAUAAGCACCGGCUAACUACGUGCCAGCAGCCGCGGUAAUACGUAGGGUGCAAGCGUUAUCCGGAAUUAUUGGGCGUAAAGGGCUCGUAGGCGGUUCGUCGCGUCCGGUGUGAAAAGUCCAUCGCUUAACGGUGGAUCCGCGCCGGGUACGGGCGGGCUUGAGUGCGGUAGGGGAAACGGGAACUC
rnacentral:rRNA from 1 species